rnacentral:rRNA from 1 species
UUGCACGCUGGCGGCAGGCCUCACACAUGCCAGUCGAACGGUAACAGGAAGCAGCUUGCUGCUUCGCUGACGAGUGGCGGCCGGGUGAGUAAUGUCUGGGAAGCUGCCUGAUGGAGGGGGAUAACUACUGGAAACGGUAGCUAAUACCGCAUAAUGUCGCAAGACCUAAGAGGGGGACCUUCGGGCCUCUUGCCAUCGGAUGUGCCCAGAUGGGAUUAGCUUGUUGGUGGGGUAACGGCUCACCAAGGCGACGAUCCCUAGCUGGUCUGAGAGGAUGACCGGCCAAACGGGGACGAGAAACGGGGCCGGACCCCUAGGGGGGGCAGGAGGGGGGAAUAUUGAAAAAGGGGGGAAAGCCUGAUGACGCCAGGCCGGGGGUAUGAAGAAGGCCUUCGGGUUGUAAAGUACUUUCGGGGGGGGGGAGGGGAGUAAAGUUAAAACCUUUGCUCAUUGACGUUACCCCCAAAAGAAGCACCGGCUAACCCCGU